GAUGAGGUCCCCUACAGAACGGUCCACUACCUUCCAGAAUCUUAAGCCACAGGGGAAAUGUACCCCAUAAUGCGUCUGCCUUCAAUAAAACCAAAAACGUCCCCUAAAGCCCGAAACUUUGCCUUCUUCUCUUGCUUUUUAAAUUUUUGGCAACAUUGCUUGUCACGCCUUCCAGUCUUCUUGAGGCAAAUCUUCAGAGAAGCAAAUCCCUUCUUCUUUGCAAACUGGAGAAGUAUUUGUUCUUCUCCAGAUGUCAACUCACUGCUCGUCUCACAAACAGAAUGAUGAUUUGCCGGGUCCACCUUCGACCCACUCUGCGGACGAUGUCGACCUCUUCAUUCAUGUUUGUCGCCAGGUCAGGUGCAAUUUUACACAGAAGCUCCACAGUUUCUGCUCGGAUGUUUUCGGAACUAUCACAGCUGGUGACCAGUUGCUCCACAGUGAGGUUUUAGCUUGGUUGGACCGGUGUCGGAUUUGAACCUGAUAAGCUGUUUUCUUCUGAAGAUUCACAAUGACCAGCUUUUCUGUUUAGAUAAAAUGAAAGAAAUUAUUAUUUGUAACUUUUUGGUCUAUCCAUCCAUUGUCUAUAUCUAUAUCAUCCGUGCAAGCUCGCACCCAUCUCCAUUGGUCAUUAGACAAGAGGCGGGGUACUCCCUGAACAGGUUGCCAGUCCACCACAGGGUAACAAAGAGACACACAGGACAAACAACGUUGUACACACUCAUGCCUACAGGCAAUUUAGAGAGACCAAUUAACCUAAGAGGAACCCGGAGCACCCUGGGAGAACCCACGCAUGCACAGGUAGGACAUGCAAACUCCAUGUUGAAAGAUGCUAGAAUUUGAACCCGAGACCUUAAGCUGCAAAACAACAGUGCUGACCUACAUUACAGUUUCCUCAUUUGCCUUUCAGAUAUCUGAAAUUUACUUGCAGAUUGUUAGUGACAGGAGUGCUCAGCAUAACCAUUACAUUUCAGAUGAAAGACGAAUUACACACCAAAGAUAUAACGGAGGGCUGGAGGACACCUAUUAGUUUCAUUGCUUUUUAUUGUGCAGACAUGCAAGUCUUGAAAAAGAACAAAGCAUGGAAACUCUUGGAGGAUGCUUGUUUCCUUGUUUUAAAAGAAAUCAUAGAAAUGGCAUAAAAGCAUGGCUCUGUACUUAAUUAAUGCUGUAAUUUACAGGUGCCUCUUUUUCAUAUCAAGUUAAAGAUAAAAGAACAUGGCAUUAGUAUUUUUUCAAAUCCUCUGGUUUUGAUGACUGCUUGAAUUGACUUUGCUCAUCAAAAACAAUAUUGUUAAUCAGUCAGAUUCAAAUGGAUCAUAUUUUUACAGUUUUACUUCAAGAGAGACCCUGAAGGUUUGAAUAUCAUGUCUGUUAUAUGAUAUGAUAUAAUAUGAUAUAAUAUCAUGGCUGUUCUGCCUUUCCUGAAAAAAAUGUUUUAUCUUUGUUCGGUGGCAAGAUGGAUUAUAGUGCUAACAAAUGAUUGCAUCAUUAUCAAACCUACUUUCCACUGAUUAUAUAUAAUCUAAAAAGUGUCUAACAUUUUAACAUCCACCUGUGCAUUCACUAGAGAGGUAUUGCUUUCUGGACCUCACAUGCAGGAACAUAUCAUCAAUGAUCACUGAAAUCUGGCUGUCAUCACACUGACAUGUCAGGACAAGAAGGAACAAAGAACCACAACAACAGCUGUGAUGAGCAAGAGUUCUGCUCUUGAUGAUAGGCCAUCAUGUUUGCCUGUGUGAUCAAUUGUUCAAAAAUGAGGUGAAAUUCCUUUGCUUUGUUGUCAUCAACAGAGCCUGCAUCAAUCCUGAAACAGUUUUCCUGAUGCGACCCUGAAACCUUUUUUGUUUCUGAAAGCCAUCAUAAGAAUAACUCAUGUGUAACUUCCAAAGAGACUUAUCAGCUGGGAAAUGGACCACCAUCAGAGACCCCCAGGCCAGUCAUGGAAACAAUGAGCCUAGACUCCGUCGACAAGUAGAGGAAAAGGGUUGGAGACCUAUCCUGCCUACUUGUCAGGAUCUGUGCCUUGUCUGUUUGUUUGGUGCUGUUUACUGUGCUUAGCCUCUAGAUAGCGUGGAACCUGGAGGAGAGGUGACAUGUGUUCUUUAUCCCCCUAAUUACCUGCUGAGGAGUAUUUAAGGAGGAGGCUGCCAGCAACUCACUGCCACAGUGUAGCCCUUAGUGGUACAGCUCAAGCCACAUUACCUUUGUCUUGAACUUGCCUUGUACUUUUGGUAAUUUUGUAUUUGUUACCUUGCAGGUUUACCUGAACCUGACUUUGCCUUCUGCAUUGAACCCUGCCUGGAUUACCAUCUUCUGGAAAGAAGCUAUCCAGCUCCAUGAACAAAGACUCAAGCCUCUUAUUACUUCGUUGGAUCACACCGGCUGGCAGCCUCCUGAUUCCUUCGUUCCUUGGAUCUCCUUCUACGAACCCUGUCCACCCUCCUCCAUCCACUGCACCAACGUCAGAAACUCUUGGAUCUACUAAACAUCCUGGCACACCAGUAUUCACCAUCUCCUGUCUCACGGGUAAACAACCCCUUGGUCUCUCCACCCCCCCUCUGGCGGAUCUCCAUCAAUCCCUUGGUAUCCCGGUUCCAGUUCCCUGCACAUUUCAUUACAUUGUAAAUAAACUCAUUACCGUUAAACUCAGUCUCCUGAAUUGCUUUCUGCAUGUGGGUCAAAUCUGUUCGAAACAUUAUGACACUAUUGGGUGUGAGCCCGAGACCAGGAAAACCAGAGCUGACAUUCCCAUGGGCAUGAAGUGUUAUUUAAUAUGAAAAAAAAAAAUGUGAAAGAGAGACUUUUAAGCAAUCUUUUCAUACAUGGUUUCUUCAUACAAGGUUUUGUUGAAAAUCAGACAAAAUCUUGUAAAUGAAUGGCUCAAUCAAUAGUUCUAAUAAAAUUCCUGAAUA